rnacentral:rRNA from 1 species
GCAAGUCGAACGGAUCCUUCGGGAUUAGUGGCGCACGGGUGCGGAACACGUGGGAAUAUACCCUUAGGUAGGGAAUAAUAUCUGGAAACGGAUACUAAUACCCUAUAAUGACUUCGGUCCAAAGAUUUAUCGCCUAAGGAUUAGCCCGCGUCUGAUUAGAUAGUUGGUGAGGUAAUGGCUCACCAAGUCUACGAUCAGUAGGGGGUUUGAGAGGAUGAUC